rnacentral:rRNA from 1 species
UGCGCCAGCGAUGGCCGGUUGCGAGGUGCUGCAUGGUUGUCGUCAGCUCGUGCCGUGAGGUGUCGGGUUAAGGUCCCAUAACGAGCGCAACCCCUACCUGCUAGUUGCCAGCGGGUCAUGCCGGGGACGUCUAGCGGAACUGCCAGCGUAAGCUGCGAGGAAGGUGGGGAUGACGUCAAAUCAGCACGGCCCUUACGUCCAGGGCUACACACGUGUUACAAUGGCCAGUACAGAGGGCAGCCACCCCGCGAGGGGGCGCUAAUCCUAAAAGCUGGUCCCAGUUCGGAUCGGAGUCUGCAACCCGACUCCGUGAAGCUGGAUUCGCUAGUAAUCGCGCAUCAGCCACGGCGCGGUGAAUACGUUCCCGGGCCUU